rnacentral:misc_RNA from 1 species
GAAUAUUUGUGGGAACUCCUGGCAUAUUUCGUUGAUUAUAACCCAUAGAAGUCAGAAAUGAAGGAGAGAUAGGAAACGGUAAUUGAGCUGAAGCCCAGUUAAAAGGAAAAUGAAUUUGCUCAUUAAGUCCAUGAAUUGAAGUAGAUGCCAUCAUGUUCACAAGAUCUUGCUCUUCCUGAUGCAUCCCAUGUGUCCCACCAGCGGAUGAUAGCUCUUCAUUCGGAACAUCGAUGCCUGAUUCUUGAUGAAAGCUAUUUGAUACGCAGUUAGAUUCGGUGAUAGGAUCAUGACUCUGAUGGGAUGGAACGUGUCUUGGCAUGCUAUCAUUUAAAGAUCGACCACUCUGACCUGCUACAUUUUCAGAUCCUUGGUUCCUCCUCUUAUAACUGCUGUCCUGCCUCGACAGAGUGGGUUGUGUUUUUGCAGUCUCUGGAGCUCUUCCGCGUCUUCCUUGAUUGUUACCGUCACCAUAGGUUUCUGUAAGCUCGGGACUAGACCUUGUUCUGGCAAAAACGAACCUACCCU